AAAGAGCACUGCGCUCUUAACGCUCGGCGAUUGCUAGAGGAAGCUAACGAAGAUUGUCUAAGUACUAAUGCGGCGGUGUUACCUGUCGAACAGCGUAAAGGCAACAGCGCAGGGUCGCUGGAGAUCGUCUCACUUAUAAACUGGCCACAGCAUCAACAGCAGCAGCAACCCACAAGCAGUGGCUCGACUCUCAGAUACCCUACACUGACAUAACUUCAAGAAGUAUUCAAAUAAGCAAUAUGCUUAAUAAACUAACUUUUUACAAAUUUAA